AUUGAACGCUGGCGGCAGGCCUAACACAUGCAAGUCGAGCGGAUGAAGGGAGCUUGCUCCUGGAUUCAGCGGCGGACGGGUGAGUAAUGCCUAGGAAUCUGCCUGGUAGUGGGGGAUAACGUCCGGAAACGGGCGCUAAUACCGCAUACGUCCUGAGGGAGAAAGUGGGGGAUCUUCGGACCUCACCCUAUCAGAUGAGCCUAGGUCGGAUUAGCUAGUUGGUGGGGUAAAGGCCUACCAAGGCGACGAUCCGUAACUGGUCUGAGAGGGUGAUCAGUCACACUGGAAAUGAGAAAACGGACCGACUCCUAAGGGGGGGCACAGGUGGGAAAAUUGGGAAAUGGGGCGAAGCCCUGAGCAGGCCAGGCGGGGUGGGUAAAGAGGGCUUUGGGUUUUAAAACCCUUUUAAGUGGGAAGGAAGGGCAGGUAAUUAAACCCUUACUGUUUGGACGUUCCCAAUAAAAAAGGCACCGGUAAAUUCCGU
rnacentral:rRNA from 1 species